GUGGGGAAUAUUGGACAAUGGGCGCAAGCCUGAUCCAGCCAUGCCGCGUGAGUGAUGACGGCCUUAGGGUUGUAAAGCUCUUUCGCACGCGACGAUAAUGACGGUAGCGUGAGAAGAAGCCCCGGCUAACUUCGUGCCAGCAGCCGCGGUAAUACGAAGGGGGCUAGCGUUGUUCGGAAUCACUGGGCGUAAAGGGUGCGUAGGCGGGAUCUUAAGUCAGGGGUGAAAUCCCGAGGCUCAACCUCGGAACUGCCUUUGAUACUGGGGUCCUUGAGUCCGGAAGAGGUGAGUGGAACUGCGAGUGUAGAGGUGAAAUUCGUAGAUAUUCGCAAGAACACCGGUGGCGAAGGCGGCUCACUGGUCCGGAACUGACGCUGAGGCACGACAGCGUGGGGAGCAAACAGGAUUAGAAACCCUAGUAGUCC
rnacentral:rRNA from 1 species